GCCAGGUGCAGUGGCGCACGCCUGUCAUCCCAGCAGCUUGGGAGGCUGAGGCAGGAGGAUCGCGAGUUCAAAGCCAGCCUCAGCAACUUAGCGAGGCCCAAGCAACUCAAUGAGACCCUGUCUCUA
rnacentral:sRNA from 1 species